UUUGUAAAUAAAAUAUCCAAAACAAGCAAACAAACAAACAAAAAACCCAUGAACCUAAAAAAAAGAAAGUUCAGUUCCUACCUCUCUGACCUCUCUUUUGGAAGUCUUUCCAGGCUCCGCCUUCAAAGCAACCUCUAUACAGCCAAGGGUGCAGCUAUCCAUCUAUACACACCCUACUGUUUUAUAUUAGAGACUCCAUUUUCUUCCAUUUCCAAAGACAAUUCCUCCCCUUCUAUAUAGGGAAGCCCACUCCCUCCUCAUGUAGAUGCCCUGUAUGCCCCGGGUUUUGUCAGGCUAGUAAACUGCCUUUCCUUUUCCUGUCUGCUGAAGGUCCUUCUUGCUCUUGGAGGCCCAAAUUAGGCACGGAACUUUGUGGGUGGAACCUACACAUAGAGGCUUGCAGAAGAGAAGCUGGUGUUGAAAACUUCCGGACCUCAAAGGACCGUCUGACCUCAGAGCUCUGGAAACUGAGCUCAAGACAGCAUAACUUUAUUCCCUUUCUAAAGCCCUUACUUUUCUUUAUUGAUCAUCAUCAUAAAUAAUCACGGCUUUCCUAUCCUAAAGGUUGUAACAGGAGGAGCAGGAGUCUAUUAGAUGCCUCAUCUAGCAACUUCAAUCUCUCAGGUUCUAGAGGAUGGAACUCGGAUUCUCAUGACUGAAGGCGAACACUUUAUCAACAGAGCUUUCACCGCAGCUACAUGAGAGCGUAGAACUCCUCCGUUCCCUAAGGACUGCUCAAAUAUUGGAGGGAAGCUGUUUUGGUUACCCCUCUCUUGCUAUGAUAUACCACUGUAAGCAAGACAACUCAUAAAACAGCUUUAUUUGGGGGCUCAACAUUUCGGAGGAGGAGUCCAUGGCCAUCAUGAUGGAGAGCAUGGUGACAGACAGACAUAGCACCGGAGCAGUAGCUGAGUGCUUACUCCCUGAAAGAACAACCACUAUAAGACAGUAAAACUCCACACCAGGGGUCUGAAGACAUGGUUCAGUGGGUAAGAACACACAGGUAUGGUUCUCAACAUCGUCAUGAAGGUCCACAACCGUUUGUAACCAGUUCCGGGUACCUGAGGACCUUUUUUGAGCUUCAUAGGAAAACAUGUAGUACAUAUAGCUAUAAACAGGCACUCAGACAUACAGGUAAAAUAAAAAAAAUCUAAACAAGACAAAAAUUAAACACUCAAUCCCAGGAACUCAUGCUGGGAUAGGAGAAUAUGAUAAAAUUCUAGGAGCCACUAAUAUUCACCUGGAUAUCUUUGCUUGGACUUGCUAAUGUUGCCUCAGGAAAGAUCUAAGGUCGUACCAUUCUGAACACACCCUGAUCUCCUGUGAUCUCAGAAUCGGAAGCUAAUAAGCAGGGUCAGGCCUGGUUAGCAGUUGGUUGGGAGGGUUGUAAAGGACCUGGAGCCAGAGUUUGAGGGCAAAGUUGGAGCACUGGGUGUGAAUUAGUUAAUUUCAUUCCUGCCUCCUCCCCCAUGUGGGGGCAGUAAGAGGAGAGCCUAAAUCUUUCACAGAGCAGAGGACACUGAAGGCACUCACAUGCCUGGGCUACCACAAGCUUCUGUGGCUUAAACCCAGCGUGAGAAAGACCUCAGCCCUGUCUGCAUAAGGAUUAGUGUCUAGCAAGGGAGAUGGUCCUUAAGUAAAUACUAAUAUAAGUGAGAUUUGUCUUCACUUGAAUGACUGGACUAAGUGCAAAGUCAUCAUCCUCCAAGAGCUUGGGCAAGCACAGGGUUCUUGGCAACCUUUCUUUUUAGACCUCACACUUAGUUUGGAGAUGAAUGUGUACGCGUAGAAUCAGAGGGAGUUGAAAGACCAUCUGGUCCCCCUUUCCUUAGCUCAGACGAGUUCACUGACACAGAGCCAGGGCCAUGAGGCAACGUGCCACGAUCACAUGGCUUAUGAGCCCACAGACACAACUUGAGGAUGUCUACGAGACCACAUACAAGAUGCAAAUGUGUACCCUAACAUACUCUAAUUAUAUAACAUGCAUAAGUUUGUUAGUGGAAAUGAGAACAUGGAGGGAUAGAAAGUCUGAAGUCAGAAUGGCAGCAUUUGUUAUUUUGGAAGGCUUUUCUGCACAGCAUACACACUUGAGCAAUCCCGGGAAUCCCCUUUAAACACAACCAUGAAGCCGUAUACUAAUGGCCUGACUCACGGACUGCCAGGAAGUUGUAUGAUGUUUACAGUGGCCCUUGUGCAAGUCUUCUGUGAAGCCUGCACCUUCCUAGGAAAACAGGUUUCUAGGUCUACAAAUUGCUUUGACCCAGCUUUAUCUUGGAUACAUAAAACUCUCAGUCAAGCAAAGGAGGAAGGGGAGGGUGCUUCCUUUCAUUCAAGCUAGAAUUAAAAUAAUUCAGAGGAAACUCUUUCUGGUGGCUAUCCAGGGUUUGACUAAAACACUACCUGACAUGCUUUGUGAGGACCCCGCCUCCCAUCUAAUAGGGACGAGGUUCCCCAGGAGACCAGGACCUUUUUGUGGGCUUGGUGAUCUAAUCAGAAAGGUCAUCAUGCUUUACCUUGAAACUUUCCAGAGGCUGUCCAGCGCCCUGGGGGAGCUGUACACGCACUGUCUGCUGAGAGUUGGUAAGUCUUAUUUGAAUAUUCAUCAAAGCUGUGGUUAAAGUUGGAUGAUGAAUUACAUCCAGUGAAACUGAUACUGGCGGGGACUAUUUGAAUAUUCAGAUUGUCAAACCGUAAAAGUCUGUGAACUAAAACUGAAUUUGGAGUACAUGCAAGGUCCUAGUUUUUAUCCCAGCACCACCAACCCCCAGUUUCUGUGACCUCAGUUUCCUUGUGAUUCUGUCUCCUCUGGCUCUGCCUACUCUAGCCUCCUGAAGUCAAAGUUCACUCUGUGGAAACAGUUCCUGAUCCCUCUGACUUGAAGCUGCUAAAGGAAGAAGAGCAAACGAGUAGUUGGGCUUUGGCUUUCUGCAUUCAGUGUUACCCAGAGCCCUUUGCUGUCAGUAAGGGAAUUGACCCAGGAAGGGACCCUUUUCCUAGUUCCCCUCUCUACCUUCUCCUAAACCAACCAAUUGACGAUCUGUAGGUUAUCACAAUAUAUUUGGAACAGUAAAUAGCUUCUUUAUUAGGUACCUGUGAAGACAAAAAAAGCCAAAGAAAUAAAAAGUGGAAGGUUUGUUUUAACAAUCAUCUUGAUUGCACAGAACCUGUCCUUCACGACCUGUGAUGUCUUAUCCAAACACCUUUCAGGAUGACUCUUAAUUACUCAUUAUGAUACCUAACUCCAAAUAAUGAACUCAAAAAAAAAAAAAAAAAAGGAAGGAAGGAAGGAAGAAUCAAAUAGUAGCAAAAUAAUUUAUUCACUGCUAAACAAGGUAGUAAGAUUCCAGCUUAUCCAACCAAAUAUGGACUUCAUACAAAUGACAUGUGAUUUAAGACCAAAGAACACUUUCUUCAACUGUUAUAAAAGAACUAUUAUCCCCAAGGAGGCAUGGACAAUUGUCCCCUCCCCCUCUUUCUGUGACUUCACCUUCUAGAUUCUUGUUUCUACUGGCAAUGUAUUCUCUUUAAUAAACUUUCUUAAUGAAACUUCUCUAUAUCUUUUCUGGUAUGGUAAGUAUUUUAACCCUUAUGCCUCCAGCUUGUCACCAUUGUUCCUGGCAUGACAACGUUCUGUGGCAUAAACUGACACUGCUCAAUGGCACCUAACUACAUUGAAGAGGAUCAUGCAGCUACAGGGACACACAAACUCCAAAUAGAAAAGACCUCUAACCUAUAAAAAGGAUAACUUACUGAGCAUCCUGUCUAGGAGUCAUCUCUGUAUUUCAGUGUCUUUGAGUCAUUUCACAAAUCUGUCACAUCUAGAAACUGAUCAUAACACAAGGUUCUCUUGUCCAUAAUGAGGAAAUCAAAUAUGCAACGAAAUUGAAUAUCGCCCUGUGGUAUUUCAUCUACUCAUUCCAACACUCACAGGCUUAUAUAUGUGCUUGCUUUGAAUUCUCAUUUGAAGCCAUUAGUCUGUCUCACUAGCUUUCUCCUUAAUUAAUGAGUUAGAUAAAAUCUUUGACAUUCGUUCAUUGGAUAUUUGUCUGACUGCUGUGGUUUAAAAUAUCUAAAAAUACUAGCCUUUAAACUAAAAGUAAGGCAUGUCUCAGACAAUACAUCUACAGAAGUAUUUUUAAUAUGAAUCACAGUGAUUAGUAGAGCAGGGGGAUAGAAUGAGCUGAUUUCUAUAAACUAAGUCGAUGGCUGAGGAGACCAUUAGCUAGAAUGACAUCUGAAAAGGAACUCUGUGAAAUAUUGGAUUCUGAAACACAAAAGGGGCCAGUGAAGCAUCUGUGUCAGUGGACUGGGACUCCCAUUGGGCAGAUACUUCUGUCGUCACUGCUCAGGUCUUGACAACACUCCCCUGGUUCAGUAUCUACAAGUCUAAACACUCCAACUUAUGGACCUUAUAGACCACUUGCCAUCCCAGUAUUACAGGACUGUUUCUUCUUGCCUGCCCACUAGCCCAAAUAUCUCUUCCUUAUGGGGAAAGUUUUUAAAUUCUCAUUUUUGUUUUGGAUGUUCAAGUCCAGGACUGACAUUUAUGACACAAAUGCAAAAGGGUUAUCUAAAAGUAAUAUCAUUUUUUAAUAUUUAAUAUAAGACUGCAUUCAAUUGUCAUAGCGGAUCUAAAAGUAUUAGGCUUAAGCACUCUUUUUCCCUUCAGCCUCCCAGGUAGUUGGCACUAAAGGUGUGUGCCACUAUACCUGACUUAGGAUCCUAUUUGAUGAUGCUGAAUUUGAUACAUGCCAAAAAUUAGAUGCCUUUAAUGAUUUGGGGAUUAUUUUUAAGAAAUUGUAUUAUUUAUUGCUUAUAAACUACUUAUUUUCCCAUAAUAUAAUUUAAUAACAUUGAUAACAUGAGAAAAAAUCCUCUAAAACAGACUAUUUUUUUUUUAUUAACUUGAGUAUUUCUUAUAUACAUUUCGAGUGUUAUUCCCUUUCCCGG